CUUCAAUCGCUUUGGACCCUUCUGAUGUCAAAGAUAGAUUAGAGAAGAUGCUGGAUGGUAGAGAAAAAAUUAAAGGAGAACUCUCUUCUCUCUAGUAUUUUUUCUCACUAGAAAACCCUAGAACAAUUCUAGGUCUCUCACCUGAAGAGGAGCUGUAUCUCAUCCAAUGCUCAUGCCAAAAUGAUAGUGCCCAACCCAGAUCCUCAUGCCCCUA
rnacentral:lncRNA from 1 species